CCCUCCUUAGAUGUCAGGUGUCAGACAUUGAUUGCCAUGGAAAGGGAUUUCUCCCUUAGAGAGCGUACGGCGCCAGCCACGGGACCGCCGCUUCUGAUCCCAUUUGCGGCCAGCCCUGGACUGCUGCCUCUGAUUCCAUGUGCGACCAGUCCUACCCUGCAGAAGCUCUUGCACGCUGCCUGCCUUGCAAUGCCUUCUUCUGCUCCCGUGUCCACCGUCCCUGUCUUCGUGUUCCGCAGAGAUCUGGGAUCAUUGCCUCGGUUACCGCUGAGCCGAUCCAGCCUGUGUCAGUGCCAUCUGUCGGCGACAGAGCGGCAGAGUAACCACAGAUACCAAUGCGCUUAAACGGUCCUCCCUCUGCUGCGGCGGUACAGCCUCUUCCAUGCCAGACUCAGACUCAGCUGGCUUAGUUAAGAUAGGUACAUGUGGAAGGCACAGAUAGGUUGAGGCUAUGCAUGAGACACAGACAGGUUAAGGCCUAAAGCAAACACGUAUGGGCCAGCCUCCUGUGGCCAGCAGACCCUGCCUCCUCGCAGCUGGACCUGGGGGCUGUUUCAUCGCCUCAGUUCCUGCCUCUGAGAUGGGCUCAAGGGCACUCUUCGCAGCAUGAGUUGCUCAUGUUUAUCAAAUCAUGUCCUCUGGCAGCGAGAAAUGCAUCCACAGCCAGCAGCUUUGCACAGCAGGGCCAAGAGAGAACCCAAGGACUGCAAUUCCUGUUUAAAAUGAUGCCCUCCCCACCCUACAGUCAGCCUCUUCUUCCAGGUUCCUUUUGCUGCUGUUCUUUUGAAGAGCAUUUAGCACUGACUGAAAUGGCUGAAAUGUAAAAGU